CCACCAUUUAGCUGGAGAAAGUGAAAAUACUAGCUUUUUGAUUGGAUGAUUGCGCACCUUCAGAUUGAUUUCAAAAAUUUUCAAUUUUCCAUUCAAAUUCUAAAACUGUUCUACACUCAAACCCUCUCUUUCACUUGAAAGAAGAUAUUGCAGCAAUCCCAAUUAAAUUUUCCGCCCAAAUUUGAUUUUAAAGGAAGUGGUUGUACAGCUGAUUGAGCGGGAAUUUUUCCGCUCAAAUUUGGCCCAAUAAAACAAAUUUCCUAAUUCAUCUAUCUCCUCAUGCUCCCAUUCACUCUCAUAACUACCCUCUUUUUUUCGAACCCCCCUGACAUUCUAAAACUCUCAUUCUCAUCCUCUGAAAUCUUUUUCCAUUGAAAAUCUUGAGCGGGAAAACAGGAGAUUGCGUUCCCAAUAAGAAGAAGGUGUGUCGCCGGCGAUUCUCUCUCAUCCGUUGCUGCCGGAAUGUCUCAGACGGUGUCGAUCCCCCGUGACAACACCUCCACAGAUGACAUCACCAAAAACGCCCAAGCAUCGUCGAAUGGGGUGGCUGCCGCUGCUACGAGGCUGAGGAUCUUCAUUAAGUUUUACUCAAUGUAUGGGCACGUGGAAGGCCUAGCAAGGAGGCUGAAGAAGGGCGUGGACGGCGUUGAGGGAGUGGAAGUGGUUCUCUACAGGGUGCUGGAGUUGCUCCCGGCAGAGAUUCAGAUUGGCGGGAAUGAAGGGGAGUUUGAUGGAUGGAAGUGGUCGAGGCCUAAUGGAGGGCAUGGAAAACUAACAUCAGCACUGAAGACAUAAAAGAUUUAAACAAAAGAUUUUUCAUGUUUAGUGGACAGAGUGAUGGAAAAGAAUGACGUUUCUUUGGUUUCAUCCGGUGAUAAAUUAAGUUACUAUAUUGAGUGAUUAGAGGUAGACAAGAUAGAAUCAUUUACAACGAAAAGCACAUUGACAAUUUUGGUAUUGUUCACCAAAGGUAUAGGUGAUUUCCUGAAAUUUCGUUAUCUUGAUUGUAAUACCUCUUCUGUUUUUUAUGCAAUUUUAUAUCAUUGCCAACGUGAUUGAUUUCUUUCACACUUUACCACUAUGCUCACGUUAGAGGAUUACCAAAUCCAUGUUAUAGUAUUAAUUACCCAAGUGUGUGUUUGUCUGAGUAACAUUUACUUACUACAUAUGAUUUUUUGUGGCCAAGUUUAGCCAUUUUCCUCUAUCAUUUUUUUAUAUUUUUUUUAUUUUUAAUUUAAAAUCAUUUUAUUGUGUUGUGAUGACUCUAAUUCUUUUAUUACUUAUUAAUUCUUCUCACACCUGCUUAGUAUUUUUUCUUCUUUCUUUUGCUUAGUGUUUUAUUUUUAUUUUUUUAAUAUAUAAACUGG